rnacentral:lncRNA from 1 species
UUUGUGCUCUGUUUUCAGUAUAAAGUGUUAAAAGCUCCAGUGUCAUCAUCUGCAUACUUACAGGUCAUUCUUCCAAUGAAUUAAGCAUAGCAGAGAUACAAUCUGACAUGUGAGAAAGUGAGGCCUGGCAUGUGAAAGAGUAAUCAACAGAAUAGUCUCACCUAAGGGUCCAGUUUGUGAACUCACCAACUAACCAUCCUGCGCCCUGAAGCGACAAUAGGAGAAAUAAGGAUGACUUCUUUCCAAUACAGCACAGUGCUGGCAGGACUUCUGGUGCAGAAGCAUCCUUAUUAGAUGCGUUGUA